rnacentral:lncRNA from 1 species
UUGUACUGUGAUGCUGUCUAAAUAUUUAUUGUGAUCCAAAUAUGUACUGUUAUAAUGUAUAAAUUGUCAAUUUAUUUGUUUACUAUUACUCAAAAUACAAAAAAACAAACCAAACUUUGCGAAAAAAUUUUGAUGCUAGGGGCAUUAUGGUCUUUUACCCUCCACUUAACACCGUUAAGUGCUGAAAACGGACGGAAGGGCAUAGAAGGAAUGAAAGUUCGGCCA